UACGUAGGGUGCAAGCGUUGUCCGGAAUUAUUGGGCGGAAAGAGCUCGUAGGCGGUCUGUUGCGUCGGCUGUGAAAACCCGGGGCUCAACCCCGGGCCUGCAGCCGAUACGGGCAGACUAGAGUUCGGCAGGGGAGACUGGAAUUCCUGGUGUAGCGGUGAAAUGCGUAGAUAUCAGGAGGAACACCCGAGGCGAAGGCGGCUCUCUGGGUCGGACCUGACGCUGAGGCGCGAAAGCGUGGGGAGCGAACGGG
rnacentral:rRNA from 1 species